CCUACGGGAGGCAGCAGUGAGGAAUAUUGGUCAAUGGGCGCGAGCCUGAACCAGCCAAGUCGCGUGAGGGAGGACGGCCCUACGGGUUGUAAACCUCUUUUGCCGGGGAGCAACGGGCGCCACGUGUGGCGCCACUGAGAGUACCCGGAGAAACAGCAUCGGCUAACUCCGUGCCAGCAGCCGCGGUAAUACGGGGGAUGCGAGCGUUAUCCGGAUUUAUUGGGUUUAAGGGGUGCGUAGGCGGUACGUUAGGUCAGUGGUCAAAUUGAGGGGCUCAACCCCUUCCCGCCAUUGAAACUGGCGUUCUUGAGUGGAAGAGAAGUAUGCGGAAUGCGUGGUGUAGCGGUGAAAUGCAUAGAUAUCACGCAGAACCCCGAUUGCGAAGGCAGCAUGCCGGCUUCCGACUGACGCUGAAGCACGAAAGCGUGGGGAUCGAACAGGAUUAGAUACCCCUGUAGUC
rnacentral:rRNA from 1 species